UAUUACUGAUGACUGCAGCCUAUCUGGAAAAUGGACACACUUACACUACUACACAGAGCGUAUUUUGAGUGAGUCCUGAAAGGCUUUAACUCAUCCAUCAAUUGAUUGUAUUGUCAUUGCUACAUAAGAUUAUUCAGCACGGAGCAUCUAUUACUGCGGCUCUGAUUGAAACAUUGCCCUUGUUGUGCAGAACUAUUUAACUCUGUCUCUUUGAAACGAAAAGUGAAAUGUUUCUUAUCUUGCAAAAAGACAGAUUUAUUCUCAGCCUCUUGAAAAACAGGUAGGAGAGCCUGGAAGCAUUUCUUUUAGCAGCUGUACAUAUGGAGUCCUCUGCGACAGAGAGAGGGAAAUGCACGCAUCCUUUCCUCCCGGAGAUUUCCGAUUUUGUUACUGGCACGAGCGUGCCUGAGGGCUCUGCGGAGUAAGGCAGUGUGUGUAGGUACAUGUCUGUAUACGUGCAGGUUUUCCCCUGCAGCUGCGGCGACCCGGGCGCGGUGGCGGCUGGCGUUCGGCCUACCACCGCUUGGUGACAGUGCAGCCCCGGCGUACGCUGCCCGCUCCUUCUUCCCGCUCUCGGCAGCUUCUCCCAAGUCGCCUUUUCCCCUUUCUCCGCGCUGCUUUCCGUCUCCUCACCCUUUCCUCCCUCCCCUUUCCUAUUUAAAUACCGGGGAAGGCGCUGCUCCUGGGCUGGCCCUGCAGCUCCCUGCCCAAGCUUUGUGGUGGAGGCUGCAGGCCGUGCAACAGGGCCUGUGGGUGCUUAGGUUACAGCGAGGACAAGGCAGAGCAAAUCGAGAGGAUUCUGAGCCUCAGCUUCCUCUUCUGAACGGUUUGGCAGCCUCUGAACGGGGCUCUUCACUGUGGCUGUGACCUAGGAAUAGUGGGGUACAGCCAGUGCUGAUGCCACGCUGUGUGUGCUGGGCCCGCGAGGGAAGGCAGGCAUCAGUCCUGCUGCCCCACACUGCAAAGUUCCUGGUGCUGGAAGUGAUGGAAGCCAGUGCUUUGCUUAGAAGGAGUGACAUAGGUGCCGAGGAAAGGAUUCAAGCUGUCCAGGCACCCUGGAACUGGGGCAGUGGGGCCAGGCCACUGCCCUCUGGCAGAGCUGAGUGCUUGUGGCAGCUUCAGCCCCACACCGUUGGUUUCAGCAGAGGGAGGGAUGGGAAGCACUUUGUGAGCGCCAGCUCCCUGUAGGUUGUUUCCAGUCAGACAGUUCAGAAAUCAAUUGUGUAUAUCAAAAGGCAAAAUUAGGCUGGGAGGUUGUAGAUAAGAGUUCCUAGAGAGCCUGUGAAUCUGGCAAGGGCAGUUUAUUAUUUCUACAGCACUUUUCACCCAGCAACUUCACAGCGACUGCAUUGAUGUCUGAGGCAGAAAAGUACAGUUCUCAACUCCAGCAUAAAAGUAAAUGAGCUACAUACAAAUACAUUUGUAUUUGUACUUCUCAAGUAACACUGGGAAGUGAGAGCAGAAAAGGGAGAAGGGGGCAGAACCUCCAAAUCCUGCAUGCCACUGACAGCCAUGUCAAGAUCUUUUGCCUGGGGUCUAAUGCCAGGUGGUCUUCAGCAGGUUAUUGCUUCCAGCUAGACUCUGAUACCCCUGCAGCUAGGGAUCGUGAAGCUGCUGUUCCAGAGCACCUUGAUGCUCCCGGAUCAAAUAGUAAGUCCAGAAUAGAGGACAGCGCUGAAUGCAAAGUUGUCUGUUUUCUGUAGACUAAAAGCCUGGAGCCUGCUGUCCCCAGAAUGGCUGUGCACAUUUCCUGGUGAUGCUGGGGCUCACAGGUGGGCAUCAGGAGGGGCCUGGGUUCUGUAAAAAAGCCUGCCACUAGGGCAUCAUUGCUCCAGGAGCUGUCAGGACCACAUUUUCUGAAGAGCUCCCAUUCACAAAGGUAAAACAUGUCAUUAUUUUGUAUUCUUGGAGAGCCAAAAGAAGAAAUUCAGCCCUGACUACCUUCAGAAGGGGAGAUCCUGCCAUCAGCAGAGGCAGUGCACUGAAAGCUGAGGGGAGAAUAAGAGGAAGGGCACAGAGCUGUGAAUGAUGGGCGAACGUGCAAAAGGGAUCUCUUUUUUAUGGACAGAAGAGGGAAACAGUUUUUCAAGGCCUAGGCUAAGGUGGGGAUGAACUCAUUCUUCUGAAGCAUUGCACUUGUUAUCUUGGUGUGUUUAAGGAACUGUGUAAUCUUCCAAAAGCUUCGGUCUGGAUCUGGACUUUCACUGCAGCAGUGAAGAACAGGAGCUAAAGAAGCUGGCUAGACAGGCUAAACAGCAGAAUCUGGACGACACUGCCCCAAGGUAGCUUAUUUUGUCUGUUAUGAACUCAGGGAGAUCUCAUCAGUGUGUACAAAUACCUGAAGGGAAGGUGUGAAGGGGAUGCAUACAGAGUCUUUUCAGUGGUGCCCAGUGCCAGGGCAGAUUGAUUUAUUACCUUCCUGAAAGGUGAAAUACCUAACAGAGGUUACGAACAGUACUUCUGAAAUCAGCAUUUAAAUAACAUUUCAAAACCACUAGAAACCUCAUUAUCCUGAAUAUACAGUUUUAGCAGUCAUACAAGCAGUGAAAAAGCAGUGAAACAAAUGUGCGACUUGUAACUGGGCAAAACCAAUGGUACCGACUAAACACUAUGCUGAUAAACAUCCAAUUAGCCACUAGGUACCUUGGCACAUCAGUGCAUUUGCUGAAACUUGGUAAGGCAAAAGCAAUUCAGAGAGCCUCAACCCACUUAUUCUUGUCUUCACUGUAUGACAGCAUCACAUCUGCUGUCUGUGAAAUCUGUUCCUGGUGCAUUGAUGGACCUAACACCACCCUCAACACCUGCUGGGGCCAGAUGGUGAACCAUGAAGUAUCCCCUCCUGCCUAUCUGGUGACUCUUUGGCAUGGGGAGGAAAACAACUUCUGCAAGAAGGAGAGCCACUAAGAUCCCAGAGACUAGGCAGAAGUUUUUGUAUCUUCUUCACUAUAGUUUAUUUCUUUACCCUCCCUCCUAAGUGUUUUACUAAUUCUUUCCUUUCCCCAUCUCUUCUACCAGCAGCUUCUGUAGGCUGCAUUUAUAUAUACAUAUAUAUAUUUGUUCUUUCUGUGUAAAGCAGCAUGAUUCACGGGAAAAGGCUUUGUAGCUCCUGCUUAGUGACCUCUCCUGGUUCCUCACUCCUGUUCUCCGCUGAUCAGAGCCACUGGUGAUUAGAUGCUCAGCAGAGGUGAUUGUGGAGCCUUUGACACCUCGCAUCCCCUGCUGCCUAGAUUUCGAAGAGGUAAUCAUUCCCAGAGACCUGCCACUGACCCUUUGCUCGAGCUUUUGUCGGUCA